GCAUCCCUGGUGUGUAAACUGCUUUUAUACAGGAAGAAACUACGCUACGUGUAGCGUCUUGACGGUACUGUAAGAAUAAGGACCGGCUAACUCCGUGCCAGCAGCCGCGGUAAUACGGAGGGUCCAAGCGUUAUCCGGAAUCAUUGGGUUUAAAGGGUCCGUAGGCGGCCUUAUAAGUCAGUGGUGAAAUCUCCUAGCUCAACUAGGAAACUGCCAUUGAUACUGUAGGGCUUGAAUUUUUGUGAAGUAACUAGAAUAUGUAGUGUAGCGGUGAGAUGCUUAGAUAUUACAUGGAAUACCAAUUGCGAAGGCAGGUUACUAACAAACGAUUGACGCUGAUGGACGAAAGCGUGGGGAGCGAACAGG
rnacentral:rRNA from 1 species